rnacentral:rRNA from 1 species
GAGGUAGUGACGAAAAAUAACGAUACGGGACUCAUCCGAGGCCCCGUAAUCGGAAUGAGUACACUUUAAAUCCUUUAACGAGGAUCAAUUGGAGGGCAAGUCUGGUGCCAGCAGCCGCGGUAAUUCCAGCUCCAAUAGCGUAUAUUAAAGUUGUUGCGGUUAAAAAGCUCGUAGUCGAAUUUGUGUCCCGCGCCGUCGGUUCGCCGCUCGCGGCGUUUAAUUGGCGUUUUGCGGGACGUCAUGCCGGUGGGCUUAGCUCCCCGUCGCGGUGCUCUUCGUUGAGUGUCGAGGCGGGCCGGCACGUUUACUUUGAACAAAUUAGAGUGCUUAAAGCAGGCUAAAAUAUUGCCUGGAUAUUGUGUGCAUGGAAUAAUAAAAUAGGAUCUCGGUUCUAUUUUGUUGGUUUUCGGAACUCCGAGGUAAUGAUUAAUAGGAACGGAUGGGGGCAUUCGUAUUGCGACGUUAGAGGUGAAAUUCUUGGAUCGUCGCAAGACGGACUAAAGCGAAAGCAUUUGCCAAAAACGCUUUCAUUGAUCAAGAACGAAAGUUAGAGGUUCGAAGGCGAUCAGAUACCGCCCUAGUUCUAACCAUAAACGAUGCCAGCCAGCGAUCCGCCGAAGUUCCUCCGAUGACUCGGCGGGCAGCUUCCGGGAAACCAAAGCUUUUGGGUUCCGGGGGAAGUAUGGUUGCAAAGCUGAAACUUAAAGGAAUUGACGGAAGGGCACCACCAGGAGUGGAGCCUGCGGCUUAAUUUGACUCAACACGGGAAACCUCACCAGGUCCGGACACCGGAAGGAUUGACAGAUUGAGAGC